GACGCGUGAUCUUUGGAAACACUAAUUCCCUUAUAAAUGAUGUUGGCACAAGGUAUAGCUGCGUCCAUGUAAUGCUUAUGUGGCUUGAAUCUUGAUUAUUGAUAAAUAAAAAUGCCAAAUAAGCAUGAUGUUAUAGGAACGAUUUUCAAUUAAACAAAAAAAUUCAGACACCAAAAAGAGGUUUCCUCCACCGCGCUCUCCUUUCUUCCACCGCGUUCUCCUCCUCCAUUUAGUUUCGUGGCUGCUUGCACCACCGCCCCUUUUCCUGCUCUCUAUUUCCGUCCUGAUUCCAUCGCUCCCACCAUUCCUUCAUCCACAGCUACCAAAAAGAGAUUCAACUGAUUUCCUCGAAUCGAAGGCUUCGACACUAUAUUUUGAUUGGUUCAAUAGCUAAUGACAAAGUAACUGUUUUGGAGUCAGAAAAGCGCACAUGGGAGAAUUCCCGAGAAGCUCAAGCAAUGAGAGAUGCUCUCAACCCUUGGAGACAUAUUGAUGCAGAAGGAACAAAGAAGUCCUGAAUAGAAUCAAAAUAUC